GACGAACGCUGUCGGCGUGCUUAACACAUGCAAGUCGAACGGAAAGGCCCUGCUUUUGUGGGGUGCUCGAGUGGCGAACGGGUGAGUAACACGUGAGUAACCUGCCCUUGACUUUGGGAUAACUUCAGGAAACUGGGGCUAAUACCGGAUAGGAGCUCCUGCUGCAUGGUGGGGGUUGGAAAGUUUCGGCGGUUGGGGAUGGACUCGCGGCUUAUCAGCUUGUUGGUGGGGUAGUGGCUUACCAAGGCUUUGACGGGUAGCCGGCCUGAGAGGGUGACCGGCCACAUUGGGACUGAGAUACGGCCCAGACUCCUACGGGAGGCAGCAGUGGGGAAUAUUGCACAAUGGGCGGAAGCCUGAUGCAGCAACGCCGCGUGCGGGAUGACGGCCUUCGGGUUGUAAACCGCUUUCGCCUGUGACGAAGCGUGAGUGACGGUAAUGGGUAAAGAAGCACCGGCUAACUACGUGCCAGCAGCCGCGGUGAUACGUAGGGUGCGAGCGUUGUCCGGAUUUAUUGGGCGUAAAGGGCUCGUAGGUGGUUGAUCGCGUCGGAAGUGUAAUCUUGGGGCUUAACCCUGAGCGUGCUUUCGAUACGGGUUGACUUGAGGAAGGUAGGGGAGAAUGGAAUUCCUGGUGGAGCGGUGGAAUGCGCAGAUAUCAGGAGGAACACCAGUGGCGAAGGCGGUUCUCUGGGCCUUUCCUGACGCUGAGGAGCGAGAGCGUGGGGAGCGAACAGGCUUAGAUACCCUGGUAGUCCACGCUGUAAACGGUGGGUACUAGGUGUGGGGUCCAUUCCACGGGUUCCGUGCCGUAGCUAACGCUUUAAGUACCCCGCCUGGGGAGUACGGCCGCAAGGCUAAAACUCAAAGGAAUUGACGGGGCCCCGCACAAGCGGCGGAGCAUGCGGAUUAAUUCGAUGCAACGCGUAGAACCUUACCUGGGUUUGACAUGGAUCGGGAGUGCUCAGAGAUGGGUGUGCCUCUUUUGGGGUCGGUUCACAGGUGGUGCAUGGCUGUCGUCAGCUCAUGUCGUGAGAUGUUGGGUUAAGUCCCGCAACGAGCGCAACCCUUGUUCACUGUUGCCAGCACGUUAUGGUGGGGACUCAGUGGAGACCGCCGGGGUCAACUCGGAGGAAGGUGGGGAUGACGUCAAGUCAUCAUGCCCCUUAUGUCCAGGGCUUCACGCAUGCUACAAUGGCUGGUACAGAGAGUGGCGAGCCUGUGAGGGUGAGCGAAUCUCGGAAAGCCGGUCUCAGUUCGGAUUGGGGUCUGCAACUCGACCUCAUGAAGUCGGAGUCGCUAGUAAUCGCAGAUCAGCAACGCUGCGGUGAAUACGUUCCCGGGGCU
rnacentral:rRNA from 1 species